rnacentral:rRNA from 1 species
UACGUAGGGUGCGAGCGUUUGUCCGGAAUUAUUGGGCGUAAAGAGCUUGUAGGCGGUUUGUCGCGUCUGCUGUGAAAACCCAGGGCUCAACCCUGGGCUUGCAGUGGAUACGGGCAGACUAGAGGUAGGUAGGGGAGAAUGGAAUUCCCGGUGUAGCGGUGAAAUGCGUAGAGAUCGGGAGGAACAUCAGUGGCGAAGGCGGCCAUCUGGGACAACACUGACGCUGAGGCACGAAAGCGUGGGGGAGCAAACAGG